rnacentral:rRNA from 1 species
GACGAACGCUGGCGGCGUGCUUAACACAUGCAAGUCGAACGGAAAGGCCCUGCUUUUGUGGGGUGCUCGAGUGGCGAACGGGUGAGUAACACGUGAGUAACCUGCCCUUGACUUUGGGAUAACUUCAGGAAACUGGGGCUAAUACCGGAUAGGAGCUCCUGCUGCAUGGUGGGGGUUGGAAAGUUUCGGCGGUUGGGGAUGGACUCGCGGCUUAUCAGCUUGUUGGUGGGGUAGUGGCUUACCAAGGCUUUGACGGGUAGCCGGCCUGAGAGGGUGACCGGCCAAAUUGGGACUGAGAUACGGCCAGACUCCUACGGGAGGCAGCAGUGGGGAAUAUUGCACAAUGGGCGGAAGCCUGAUGCAGCAACGCCGCGUGCGGGAUGACGGCCUUCGGGUUGUAAACCGCUUUCGCCUGUGACGAAGCGUGAGUGACGGUAAUGGGUAAAGGAGCACCGGCUAACUACGUG